rnacentral:lncRNA from 1 species
CUUUUGAAAUCUGAUUGUAAUUCAUGUGUUCAGUUUUAUCUUGAACUGUUUUAUUUUCAAUUUUCUGUUUCUGUAACAUAUGUUUAUAAAUUUAUUCAAAGUUUCUUCAUCUGUUUUGUGUUCCUCUUUCAAGCAAAUGGUUUUAUCUUGGUAUGUAUGAAGUUCUGAAAGUGUCUCACGAUGUUUUAUUCUUGACUGUUCAAGUUCCUUCAUGGCUGUUGUAUAUGGAAGCAAGUCAUUUUGAACCCUGUCAUUUCGUACCCGAAUCUGCCAUUUGUACCCGAAUCUGCCAUUUUGUACCAAACAUUUACCAUUUCAUACCCACGAUAAUAUCCAUUUCGUACCCAAUGGGCCAAAUGCAUCUACCAUUUCGUACCUCAUGGACUUAAUACAUGUAAGCUAUUUUGUAUCAUAUUUUUGUAUAGUUUUUCAUGAUUUUAAUGGGUUUUUUUUAUAAAAUAAAACAUAUUAAAUAAAAUUGUGCAUCUAGACGUAACAAUUUUAUAAAGACCGAUGAAUAGUUUGAUUAAGCAGCAUUUGGAAACUUCAAUAGUUAUAAUUACAAUUUGUUUGUUUGCAAGGAUUUGCCCCAACCUUGUUGUUCUUGAAACAAUCUUUACUUGUAUACUUGUAAGUUUCCUGACGUAUAAGUGCCAUUGAGGAUGAGUUCCAGAGGUCCUCUCUACCAGACAAAGCAGACUAGUAGCGUUUGUUUAAUUUGAUUGUUGGGACAGACGAGACCAACCACUUGUAUACAGAUAAACAGAAUUACCAUAUAAGCUUAUGUUGUCAACACUAUCAGAGAAGAGUUCCCAUAGUCGAAUGUGGUACAUGAAGGCUUCCAAGAAUGUACAAGUGACAUGUCUGACUCUAAACAGUUAGUAAACGGACUUAACAGUGACCUAUAGACAUAGACCGCUAAUUGUUCUUGAUAUUUGAAACUGCAUGCAUAUAUACGUUUUUGAGAGAGAUUAUUUAUCUUGUGUCUGACGAAAACUAAAUGCCUGCAUGGUUAUAUCUUGCCAUACGUUCGUGUUGGUUUGGUGAGUGUUCUCUCAAAAUAGUAAUUCAAAAAUUGUUUUAGUGAGAUCUAGAUUUACACCAAUACGGAAUUUCGUCUAUAUAUUUCACAAGUAUAUACCACGGAGAAGCUCUGAAGGUAUUUACUACUUCCAUUUUGUUUGGGUGUUAAACAUCGAUGUUUGAAGCAAUAUUUAAUGAAUAAAAUGAUGAUGGUAGAAAGAAAUAUGAGCGUCAUGUGGCAAAUAUUACAUGAUCUCAGACCAUGAGUUGUCAAUCUGUAUUCCAAUACAACCAUAUUGAGAAGCUAGUAAUUUACAGGGUUCUUAUGUCGUUUGACUCCGACACACAUCUUUUACUAAGAUGUAUGAAAGGUUCUCUCUCUAUAUAUAUAUAUAUAUGAUAUGUAACAAUAAUCAAACAGGUAUGAAGAUUUUUUUAUACAGUUUAC